rnacentral:ncRNA from 1 species
AUUAGGUUUUAUUCUGGUUUUAAAAUUUAUUUAAUUUAGGUUUUACAUGUAAAUUUUUGUGUGGGUAUUGAAAAUUUAAAAAGUUAAUAAUUAUUCGCAGUAUUUAAUUUUAAAGAUUAAAGUAAUUUAGAUUUAGUCAUAAAUUUUAUUAUUGGUAAAGUUCGUGCCAGCUACCGCGGUUAGACGAAAGAUAGAAAUAAAUUUGAUUGAUUUAAAGUUAAAUUGUAAUUUGUGGGAUGAAAAGUUUAAUUUUAAGGUAAAAUUUGUAUUUAUUUAUUAUUCCUUUUUAGUGAAGUUGAAGCUUUGAAAUUUAUGAUUAGACUAGGAUUAGAUACCCUAUUAUGAUAAAUGUAAAUGUAAAUUAGGGUAGUAUUAGUUAAGAUCUUGAAACUCAAAGAAUUUGGCGGUGUUUUAGUCUGUUCAGAGGAAUCUGUCCUGUAAUUGAUAAUUCACGAUUGGGAAAACUUAAUUUUAAGAUUUGUAUACCGCCGUCAUCAGAAUAUUUUUUUAGAAAUAGAUUUUCUUGAUAUUUUAUUAGGAAAUAUGUCAGGUCAAGGUGCAGUUUAUAAUUGAGUAGAAUGAUGGAUUACAAUAAAUGUAUUUAUGAUGGAUUUAUGAUUUUGAAGAUUGUAUGAAGGUGGAUUUGAUAGUAAUUGUGAAUUAAUUUUUAAAAUGAUUUAAGCUCUAAAACAUGCACACAUCGCCCGUCGCUCUCAUUAAUUAAAUGAGAUAAGUCGUAACAAAGUAGGUGUACUGGAAAGUGUAUCUAGAAUGUU